rnacentral:rRNA from 1 species
UACGUAGGGGGCAAGCGUUGUCCGGAUUUAUUGGGCGUAAAGAGCGUGUAGGCGGCCGUGUAGGUCUGACGUGAAAUCUGGAGGCUCAACCUCCAGCUGUCGUUGGAGACCGCUCGGCUAGAGUCCGGAAGAGGAGAGUGGAAUUCCUGGUGUAGCGGUGAAAUGCGUAGAGAUGCGGAGGAACACCGAUGGCGAAGGCAGCCCCCUGGGCCAAUACUGACGCUCAGGCACGAAAGCGUGGGGAGCAAACAGG